CGGGUGCUAUAAUGCAAGUCGAGCGAACAGAUAAGGAGCUUGCUCCUUUGACGUUAGCGGCGGACGGGUGAGUAACACGUGGGUAACCUACCUAUAAGACUGGAAUAACUCCGGGAAACCGGGGCUAAUGCCGGAUAACAUAUAGAACCGCAUGGUUCUAUAGUGAAAGAUGGUUUUGCUAUCACUUAUAGAUGGACCCGCGCCGUAUUAGCUAGUUGGUAAGGUAACGGCUUACCAAGGCGACGAUACGUAGCCGACCUGAGAGGGUGAUCGGCCACACUGGAACUGAGACACGGUCCAGACUCCUACGGGAGGCAGCAGUAGGGAAUCUUCCGCAAUGGGCGAAAGCCUGACGGAGCAACGCCGCGUGAGUGAUGAAGGGUUUCGGCUCGUAAAACUCUGUUAUUAGGGAAGAACAUAUGUGUAAGUAACUGUGCACAUCUUGACGGUACCUAAUCAGAAAGCCACGGCUAACUACGUGCCAGCAGCCGCGGUAAUACGUAGGUGGCAAGCGUUAUCCGGAAUUAUUGGGCGUAAAGCGCGCGUAGGCGGUUUCUUAAGUCUGAUGUGAAAGCCCACGGCUCAACCGUGGAGGGUCAUUGGAAACUGGGAAACUUGAGUGCAGAAGAGGAAAGUGGAAUUCCAUGUGUAGCGGUGAAAUGCGCAGAGAUAUGGAGGAACACCAGUGGCGAAGGCGACUUUCUGGUCUGUAACUGACGCUGAUGUGCGAAAGCGUGGGGAUCAAACAGGAUUAGAUACCCUGGUAGUCCACGCCGUAUACGAUGAGUGCUAAAUGUUAGGAGGGUUUCCGCCCCUUAGUGCUGCAGCUAACGCAUUAAGCACUCCGCCUGGGGAGUACGACCGCAAGGUUGAGACUCAUACGAAUUGACUGGAGACCCACACAAACGGUGGAUCAUGUGCUUUAAUUCAAAUCAACGCGAAGAGCCUUACCAUAUC
rnacentral:rRNA from 1 species